AAAAUAUGUGCAGCACGAAAAAAGCUAUGAGAGAAAAACAUGGAAUUCAAUCAUAUCUUUGAUAACCGGUUAUGAGAAGUUAGGGAAGGCAGUUCUGAAGGAGAGGUGCAGAAAUUUCAGUAUUGCUUUUGAGGAAGUGUAUAAAAACCAGACAGGAUGGACUAUUCCAGAUAUUGAUCUUCGAGAUGAUUUGAAUGUUUCAAUCGGAUUAAGGGUCAUUCAUGCCUACCGUACAUUCGCUGGAAAGGUGAGAAAAUCUCUCAGUGAAAAGCACAUCAAAUACACAGAAGAGGACUUGGAGGAGUAUCUCCUGGACUUUUUUCAAGGUUCAGCAAAGUCUCUUAAUCAUCACUGGAGGAGGUGAAAGUUGAAUAACAGUAGUAGUAUAUUUUCCUGCAUUGAGCGUUUCAAUUGUCUUAUCUUUUGUAAUUUAUCAACAUUAGUGUUGUAGUUCCCCCACCCCCACCCUAACACACACCACACAGA
rnacentral:misc_RNA from 1 species